AAUCGUAACAAGGUUUCCGUAGGUGAACCUGCGGAAGGAUCAUAGUAAUCGUCUUUGACGUACGCUUAGUCUCCGUCGUCCUCGGGACGUUAAGGUGCUCUGGUCGAGGAUAAACGACCCCUCUGACCGAGGCUAAUCCGUCGCGCCUUUCCGUGUUACCGUCCGCGGCACACGUUAAAGAUCGUUCCGCGUUGUGAGUCUUUCUGGUUGUAAAAAACACUUUACAACCGGUAGCGAUGGAUCCCUUGGCACGUCAUUCGAUGAAGACCGUUGCAAAUUGCGAUAAAGUGAUGUGAUGCGCAAGUCCACCACUUAUACGUGAAUCAUCGAGUUGUUGAACGCAUUGCACCGCGCCCUAAACCGGCUGCGGUAUGCCCCUUUGAGCGUCAUUACAUCCUUCGGGAGUCUCCUUUGCUGGAGACCCGAGUUCGGAGUCCUCGGUCCUCUCGGGAUCGUGUUCUCUCAGAUGCAUCGCGCCGAUCGCUUUGAUGGGUAACUCUAAUGCCUGAGCGUGGAGUCCCUCUGAAGCCGAGACGUGCUAGACCCGGGUGUUGAGCCUGUGUCGCCAAGUCCGCGUCGUUCGCGACGUUUGGUACUACAACCUCAUGACCUCAUUGGGGUAGGACAACCCGCUAGACUUAAGCAUAUCAAUAA
rnacentral:rRNA from 1 species